rnacentral:rRNA from 1 species
AAGCAUAUAAGUAGGUGGAGGAAAUGAAACCGAAUGGGAAUCUCUUAGUAAUGGCGAAUGAAAGGAGAUGUGCUUAGUGUCAAAAUCAGAUUACUCUGACUUGUAGGCUGUAGGGGCUUUGCCAACUUGGGUGCAGGUGCAAGUCUCUUGGAAAGGAGCACCAGUGAGGGUCAAGGUCCCGUCUGGCAUCUGUCAUCCCUUGUAGACGGUUUGCCCAUUGAGAGUCGUGUUCUUCUGGAGUAGAGCGCCAAUUGGGUGGUACUCUUUGCCCAAGGAGGAUUACGUGCUUGAGACCAAUAGUGAACAAGUACCAUGAGGGAAGGGUGAAAAGGACUUUGGAAAGAGGGUUAAGAGGGCAUGAAGCUGCUGGAAGGGAAGUGGAUUGGACUUUUACACCGCUGUAAGAUUGCAGGCUGCGAUUCUCACUUUGUGGGUAUUGCUUGCUGUGUCUCUUGCUGCUCGGUUGGGUUUUGCGUUGUGCCCAGAAUCUCAGCUUUGACUGGCAGAAGGGUUGCGACCUGGACCAUGUCUUUGCUUACUUUUGGUGCAGCAUUCAACCUUGACCAAAAGGUUCAAUUUUACCCGUCUUGAAACACGGACCAAGGAGUCUAUUGCGUGUGCAAGUGCAAGGGUUUCACACCUGACAGCUCAACAAAGGUGACUGCUGGGAUUUCUGCACCAGCAACCAACUGAUCGCUUGGGAGAUGUUUGUGUAUGAGCACACUUGCUAGGACCCGAAAGGUGGUGAACUAUGCCUGAGAAGGGUGACGUCAGGGGAAACUCUGAUGGAAGCUCGUAGCGCUACUGACGUGCAAAUCGUUCGUCUGACUUGGGUAUAGGGGCGAAAGACUAAUCGAACCAUCUAGUAGCU